GCAAUUGAAAUGUCAGUUGAGUUGAAUCAACAAAUCACAGGGUAGCAGGGCGGCAGGGUAGCCUAGUGGUUAGAGUGUAGAGGUGGCAGGGUAGCCUAGUGGUUAGAGUGUAGAGGCGGCAGGGUAGCCUAGUGGUUAGAGUGUAGAGGCGGCAGGGUAGCCUAGUGGUUAGAGUGUAGAGGUGGCAGGGUAGCCUAGUGGUUAGAGUGUAGAGGUGGCAGGGUAGCCUAGUGGUUAGAGUGUAGAGGCGGCAGGGUAGCCUAGUGGUUAGAGUGUAGAGGCGGCAGGGUAGCCUAGUGGUUAGAGUGUAGAGGUGGCAGGGUAGCCUAGUGGUUAGAGUGUAGAGGCGGCAGGGUAGCCUAGUGGUUAGAGUGUAGAGGUGGCAGGGUAGCCUAGUGGUUAGAGUGUAGAGGCGGCAGGGUAGCCUAGUGGUUAGAGUGUAGAGGCGGCAGGGUAGCCUAGUGGUUAGAGUGUAGAGGUGGCAGGGUAGCCUAGUGGUUAGAGUGUAGAGGCGGCAGGGUAGCCUAGUGGUUAGAGCAUUGGACUAGUAAAAUAAAGGUAAAAAAAAAACAGAAGAUAUUUU